CGGAGGGUGCAAGCGUUAUCCGGAUUUACUGGGUUUAAAGGGUGUGUAGGCGGACUAUUAAGUCAGGGGUGAAAUCCCGAGGCUCAACCUCGGAACUGCCUUUGAUACUAUUAGUCUUGAAUGUUGUUGAGGUGGGCGGAACGGGUCAUGUAGCGGUGAAAUGCAUAGAUAUGACCCGGAACACCGAUUGCGAAGGCAGCCCGCUAAGCAACUAUUGACGCUGAGGCACGAAAGCGUGGGGAUCAAACAGGAUUAGAUACCCUGGUAGUCCACGCCCUAAACGAUGAUUACUCGACGUUGGCGAUACACUGAUCAGCGUCCAAGCGAAAGCAUUAAGUAAUCCACCUGGGAAGUACGUUCGCAAGAAUG
rnacentral:rRNA from 1 species